UACGUAGGGGGCGAGCGUUGUUCGGAAUCACUGGGCUUAAAGGGCGCGUAGGCGGGCUCGCCAGUCAGGGGUGAAAUCCUCCAGCUCAACUGGAGCAGUGCCUUUGAUACUGCGAGUCUCGAGGGAGGUAGGGGCGUGCGGAACUUCCGGUGGAGCGGUGAAAUGCGUAGAUAUCGGAAGGAACACCGGUGGCGAAAGCGGCGCGCUGGACCUCUUCUGACGCUGAGGCGCGAAAGCCAGGGGAGCAAACGGG
rnacentral:rRNA from 1 species